rnacentral:rRNA from 1 species
UGGCGGCGUGCUUAACACAUGCAAGUCGAACGGUGAAGCCAAGCUUGCUUGGUGGAUCAGUGGCGAACGGGUGAGUAACACGUGAGCAACCUGCCCUGGACUCUGGGAUAAGCGCUGGAAACGGUGUCUAAUACUGGAUAUGAGCUCUCAUCGCAUGGUGGGGGUUGGAAAGAUUUUUCGGUCUGGGAUGGGCUCGCGGCCUAUCAGCUUGUUGGUGAGGUAAUGGCUCACCAAGGCGUCGACGGGUAGCCGGCCUGAGAGGGUGACCGGCCACACUGGGACUGAGACACGGCCCAGACUCCUACGGGAGGCAGCAGUGGGGAAUAUUGCACAAUGGGCGGAAGCCUGAUGCAGCAACGCCGCGUGAGGGAUGACGGCCUUCGGGUUGUAAACCUCUUUUAGCAGGGAAGAAGCGAGAGUGACGGUACCUGCAGAAAAAGCGCCGGCUAACUACGUGCCAGCAGCCGCGGUAAUACGUAGGGCGCAAGCGUUAUCCGGAAUUAUUGGGCGUAAAGAGCUCGUAGGCGGUUUGUCGCGUCUGCUGUGAAAUCCCGAGGCUCAACCUCGGGCCUGCAGUGGGUACGGGCAGACUAGAGUGCGGUAGGGGAGAUUGGAAUUCCUGGUGUAGCGGUGGAAUGCGCAGAUAUCAGGAGGAACACCGAUGGCGAAGGCAGAUCUCUGGGCCGUAACUGACGCUGAGGAGCGAAAGGGUGGGGAGCAAACAGGCUUAGAUACCCUGGUAGUCCACCCCGUAAACGUUGGGAACUAGUUGUGGGGACCAUUCCACGGUUUCCGUGACGCAGCUAACGCA